UACAGGGGGUGCAAACGUUGCUCGGAAUCAUUGGGCGUAAAGAGCUCGUAGGCGGUUGGGCAAGUCACGUGUGAAAUCUCCACGCUCAACGUGGAGGCGCCACGUGAGACUGCCCUGACUCGAGUCCGGUAGGGGAGCGUGGAAUUCCCGGUGUAGCGGUGAAAUGCGCAGAGAUCGGGAGGAACACCCGUAGCGAAGGCGGCGCUCUGGGCCGGUACUGACGCUGAGGAGCGAAAGCGUGGGGAGCAAACAGG
rnacentral:rRNA from 1 species